rnacentral:rRNA from 1 species
AUUGAACGCUGGCGGCAGGCCUAACACAUGCAAGUCGAGCGGAUGAAGGGAGCUUGCUCCUGGAUUCAGCGGCGGACGGGUGAGUAAUGCCUAGGAAUCUGCCUGGUAGUGGGGGACAACGUUUCGAAAGGAACGCUAAUACCGCAUACGUUCUACGGGAGAAAGCAGGGGACCUUCGGGCCUUGCGCUAUCAGAUGAGCCUAGGUCGGAUUAGCUAGUUGGUGAGGUAAUGGCUCACCAAGGCGACGAUCCGUAACUGGUCUGAGAGGAUGAUCAGUCACACUGGAACUGAGACACGGUCCAGACUCCUACGGGAGGCAGCAGUGGGGAAUAUUGGACAAUGGGCGAAAGCCUGAUCCAGCCAUGCCGCGUGUGUGAAGAAGGUCUUCGGAUUGUAAGGCACUUUAAGUUGGGAGGAAGGGUUGUAGAUUAAUACUCUGCAAUUUUGACGUUACCGACAGAAUAAGCACCGGCUAACUCUGUGCCAGCCGCCGCAGUAACAC